CAGUCGCCACGGGAAUACGGAGGGUGCAAGCGUUAUCCGGAUUUAUUGGGUUUAAAGGGUCCGUAGGCGGACUUAUAAGUCAGUGGUGAAAGCCUGUCGCUUAACGAUAGAACUGCCAUUGAUACUGUAAGUCUUGAGUAUAUUUGAGGUAGCUGGAAUAAGUAGUGUAGCGGUGAAAUGCAUAGAUAUUACUUAGAACACCAAUUGCGAAGGCAGGUUACCAAGAUAUAACUGACGCUGAGGGACGAAAGCGUGGGUAGCGAACAGGAUUAGAUACCCCUGUAGUCCCUGUCUCUUAUAU
rnacentral:rRNA from 1 species